rnacentral:rRNA from 1 species
CACGUAGGGUGCGAGCGUUGUCCGGAAUUAUUGGGCAUAAAGAGCUCGUAGGCGGUGUGUCACGUCGUUCGUGAAAACCUGCAGCUUAACUGUGGGCGUGCGGUCGAUACGGGCAUCACUGGAGUUCGGCAGGGGAGACUGGAAUUCCAGGUGUAGCAGUGAAAUGCGUAGAUAUCUGGAGGAACACCGAUGGCGAAGGCAGCCUCCUGGGCUAGUACUGACGCUCAUGCACGAAAGCGUGGGGAGCAAACAGG